GACGAACGCUGGCGGCGUGCUUAACGCAUGCAAGUCGAACGGAAAGGCCCUGCUUUUGUGGGGUGCUCGAGUGGCGAACGGGUGAGUAACACGUGAGUAACCUGCCCUUGACUUUGGGAUAACUUCAGGAAACUGGGGCUAAUACCGGAUAGGAGCUCCUGCUGCAUGGUGGGGGUUGGAAAGUUUCGGCGGUUGGGGAUGGACUCGCGGCUUAUCAGCUUGUUGGUGGGGUAGUGGCUUACCAAGGCUUUGACGGGUAGCCGGCCUGAGAGGGUGACCGGCCACAUUGGGACUGAGAUACGGCCCAGACUCCUACGGGAGGCAGCAGUGGGGAAUAUUGCACAAUGGGCGGAAGCCUGAUGCAGCAACGCCGCGUGCGGGAUGACGGCCUUCGGGUUGUAAACCGCUUUCGCCUGUGACGAAGCGUGAGUGACGGUAAUGGGUAAAGAAGCACCGGCUAACUACGUGCCAGCAGCCGCGGUGAUACGUAGGGUGCGAGCGUUGUCCGGAUUUAUUGGGCGUAAAGGGCUCGUAGGUGGUUGAUCGCGUCGGAAGUGUAAUCUUGGGGCUUAACCCUGAGCGUGCUUUCGAUACGGGUUGACUUGAGGAAGGUAGGGGAGAAUGGAAUUCCUGGUGGAGCGGUGGAAUGCGCAGAUAUCAGGAGGAACACCAGUGGCGAAGGCGGUUCUCUGGGCCUUUCCUGACGCUGAGGAGCGAAAGCGUGGGGAGCGAACAGGCUUAGAUACCCUGGUAGUCCACGCUGUAAACGGUGGGUACUAGGUGUGGGGUCCAUUCCACGGGUUCCGUGCCGUAGCUAACGCUUUAAGUACCCCGCCUGGGGAGUACGGCCGCAAGGCUAAAACUCAAAGGAAUUGACGGGGCCCCGCACAAGCGGCGGAGCAUGCGGAUUAAUUCGAUGCAACGCGUAGAACCUUACCUGGGUUUGACAUGGAUCGGGAGCGCUCAGAGAUGGGUGUGCCUCUUUUGGGGUCGGUUCACAGGUGGUGCAUGGCUGUCGUCAGCUCGUGUCGUGAGAUGUUGGGUUAAGUCCCGCAACGAGCGCAACCCUUGUUCACUGUUGCCAGCACGUUAUGGUGGGGACUCAGUGGAGACCGCCGGGGUCAACUCGGAGGAAGGUGGGGAUGACGUCAAGUCAUCAUGCCCCUUAUGUCCAGGGCUUCACGCAUGCUACAAUGGCUGGUACAGAGAGUGGCGAGCCUGUGAGGGUGAGCGAAUCUCGGAAAGCCGGUCUCAGUUCGGAUUGGGGUCUGCAACUCGACCUCAUGAAGUCGGAGUCGCUAGUAAUCGCAGAUCAGCAACGCUGCGGUGAAUACGUUCCCGGG
rnacentral:rRNA from 1 species